ensembl:lncRNA
UCCCUCCCGGUGCUGCCUCUGCCUCCUUCCUUCCUGCUCCUUCUCCCCGCAGCCCUCUCCCGUCCCCAGAGCCAAGCCCCCAGAGGGGGGUUGGCAUACCCCUCCAGCAGAUGGCCAGUCCAUCUAUCCUACAAGGAGGGGCGACCAGGCUUUCACCAGCACAGACACCAAGCCGUACCGAGGCCAGAACCCCAAAAUGACCAGGCUCUGUUCUUCCCCGGGGUAGCACGUGGAUUCAAGGAUCUCUGAAAAAAGCUGCUCUUAAAAGCUCUGGCUGGAUUGGCUCGCCUGUCUGGGAGAGCUCUGAGCCCGCACUGAGAAUGGACUUGCCGGGGAUCACACAGCCGGAAGUGCCAACAAGGGGACUGGAAGUGAGACUAGGAGGCCUGAUCGAUGCCAGGGAAGCCUUGCUGCUGUCAGCUGAUGGAUCUGAAAGUCAGAAACAACAACAAAGGAUGAUGCUUUCUGCCUGCCUCACAGAGGAUCCUCGAGGACAGGGAGGUUGGCAGGACAGACUGUGAAGCUAACAAGUAUGAAAAAAAAACAGUCAGCAGGAAGUCUGUGAGGAGGCAAGAGGAGAGAGAGACGGAAAGUGAGAGCCACCGCCUCGAGCAGAGAUGCUGUCCACCCCUCGCUGGCCACCCUGUGCCCCUACCUGCAGCACCUGCUGGGUAAUGAGGGCCCAGGUCUGUUCCAGACGCAUGGCGCUCCCUUCCUGUGAGAACAUCUUUUUUGUCCUUGAGCGGGUGGUGAUAGAUGGAGAAACUGGCUCCGAGUAGGGAGUGGUUACAUCCCACAUUACUCCAGUGCAACACCAAGACCAGGAAACUGGCAUUGGUACAAUGUGCGCAUAUCAUUCUGUCAGUUUAUUACCUGUGGAGAUUCAAGAAAUCACAGCAAUCAACCUCCGCAACUGUUCCAUCACCACAAAGACGUCCCUUGUGCUACCCUUCACUGUCACAUCCACCUCUACCAUCCCCAGCUCUUGGCAACCACUCAUCUGUUGGCCAUCUCCACGACUGCCACAUCAAGAAUGUUAUGUAAAUGAAAUCAUAGGCUAUGCUGGCUCUUGAGAAUAGCUUUCUUCACUCACAAGGGCCUUAUUUUAAAAUAAGUAUUUACUGAGUACCAACUACAUAGGCAGGUGUUAGCCCCUUUAGGAAUAUAUAUCACAUGAGAGUCUUCUGGUUGAAAGUGACAGAAGCCACCUCAAAUUGUAAAACGAGAAUGUACUGGUAUCAGUAAUGGAAAAGCCCAGAGGUAGG